AAAAUACUCCCUCCGUUCGGAAUUACUUGUCUCGGAAAUGGAUGUAUCUAGAACUAAAAUACAUCUAGAUACAUCCAUUUCUACGACAAGUAAUUCCGAACGGAGGGAGUACCAU
rnacentral:pre_miRNA from 1 species